rnacentral:lncRNA from 1 species
GAGGGGAGGAGCGGAAGAAGAGAUGGGAGAAGAAACAGGGAGGACUUUGAAAGGUGAAGGGAUAGUGACGUGGAGCUUUGAAGAAAGCUUAGGUGAGUUUGGUAUAUCAGAUGAUACCAUCUUCCUCUUCCAAUCCAUAUCAACCAUUUUCUUCAAUCUCUUUAGUUUUUUUUGGUUAUUGUGUGUGUUGAAUUUUGAAUUUGGUAUACUUUUUGGUAUGGAAUGAGUUAAAGAAGGAUACGAGGAGAGGUAUAUAUAUAGAGAAAUGUGGAUAAGGUGGUGGUGGUGACUGGUGAGAGAGAAAAGAAAUACAAAAGGCGUGUGGAAUUAUACCGACGCGACUACAAUUUGAAAGUCAG